UACGGAGGGGGCAAGCGUUGUUCGGAAUUACUGGGCGUAAAGCGCUCGUAGGCGGCCAGCUAAGUCCUAUGUGAAAUCCCUCGGCUUAACCGGGGAACUGCGUCUGAUACUGGAUGGCUUGAGUUCGGGAGAGGGAUGCGGAAUUCCAGGUGUAGCGGUGAAAUGCGUAGAUAUCUGGAGGAACACCGGUGGCGAAGGCGGCAUCCUGGACCGAUACUGACGCUGAGGAGCGAAAGCCAGGGGAGCAAACGGG
rnacentral:rRNA from 1 species